GAUGAACGCUGGCGGCGUGCCUAAUACAUGCAAGUCGAGCGAACGGACGAGAAGCUUGCUUCUCUGAUGUUAGCGGCGGACGGGUGAGUAACACGUGGAUAACCUACCUAUAAGACUGGGAUAACUUCGGGAAACCGGAGCUAAUACCGGAUAAUAUUUUGAACCGCAUGGUUCAAAAGUGAAAGACGGUCUUGCUGUCACUUCUAGAUGGAUCCGCGCUGCAUUAGCUAGUUGGUAAGGUAACGGCUUACCAAGGCAACGAUGCAUAGCCGACCUGAGAGGGUGAUCGGCCACACUGGAACUUGGACACGGUCCAGACUCCUACGGGAGGCAGCAGUAUGGAAUCUUCCGCAAUGGGCGAAAGCAUGACGGAGCAACGCCGCGUGAGUGAUGAAGGUCUUCGGAUCGUAAAACUCUGUUAUUAGGGAAGAACAUAUGUGUAAGUAACUGUGGACAUCUUGACGGUACCUAAUCAGAAAGCCACGGCUAACUACGUG
rnacentral:rRNA from 1 species